GUUCCUCCAUGGCGAAUGAACGAAGAGCAGAAGAAGUGGUCCUGCGAAGCAUCUCUGGUCUCGCCGUGAAACUCGGGGCUACCUACUUUAUAUUAUUUAUAUAUAUUGUAUUUCAUGCUGAUGCAAUGUGGAGAUUAAGUUCAGUGCGCCACAAAGCUGUUCCACAGGGCCGCAGCUUGGAAGAGUUCAAGUUAAAGAGACGAGAACAUGAGAAAGUGCUACGGAGUGCUCGGAAGGACAACCUGCUGGUCAGCAAGAGGCUCCUGCUGUGUGAAGAUGAGGACGAGACGCCCAUGGAUGCUGCUUCGGGGGACCAGGUGGUCCAUCUAGUCCAGAAACUCCAGCAGAGCGGACAGGAGAAGGAGACUCAUCUGAAAGCUCUGAGCGGUUCUCUGCGAAACCCAUCGGCCCAGACAGUCUUCAUAAAGCAUGAGAACAGCAUGCAUCUACUAGUAGGGCUCCUGAGUGGCUCCCAGGCUCAGUGGCGUCUGCUGGCCCUCCAGUGUCUCCACGAGCUGUCCCAGUCCCACCAGCCCAACGUGACCCUGGCUUGUGUGCCCGCCACCCCUUACCUGCUCACCUACCUGUCCGGCCAAAGCACCAAGCUGACAGAGCUGUGUCUCUACACACUGGGUAAUCUGUGUCCAGGCAGCGAUGUUGUAAGAGACAAACUCUUGGCCCAAGGGAUCAUACCUGCCCUCAAGAAUUGCAUGGAGAGCCAGCGUUCCAACCUAGCCGUAGUGGAAGCCGUAGGUUUCACUCUCUCCCAGCUGCUUCAGGCGAAGGACGCAGCGGAGAAGAUAACACCGGCGGUGCUAGCCUCAGGCCUGCCUUCACUCCUGAGGUCUGUGCUGUCCCCUGACCCCCAGUUCGGCCUGGCUCCGGCCAUCGAGUGUGCUUGGUGUCUUCACUACCUCACCUGCAGUACCGUGGGCAGCUCCGCCCUGAGAGCUGACGGGACCCUGUCAAGGUGCAGUUCUCUAUUAGUGGCCCUAGGGGGUGCUGUUUCUAAAGGCACCAAAGAAGAAGGCAUGGAGCUGUUAGUCUGGCCACUUCUGCGCUCUGUGGGCAAUCUGCUCUCGUCUGGUCCUCCGGGGGACAUGGGCUCCCAGGGGGGCGACCUCCUGCCUGCGUUGUGCGCUCUUGCUCGGGCCUUCCUGCCUUCCCAUCCGGCCCUGGCCCUGGAGAGCGCCUGGGUCCUCAACAACCUAACAGCUGACUCCAGCGAGCUCUGCACUGCGCUGCUGGAUCUCAACCUGGUUCCAGAACUGAUUCAGCUCCUGCCUUUCUCUCAAGGAAUCAACACAAUGCUCCUUCGGGUUUUGGGUAACGUUGCCCACCAGACUAACCGGUCCUGCUCCCAGCUGGCCCGUGCUGGGCUGGUGCCCGCCCUGUGUGCUACUCUCAGGAUGUCUGAGCCGGACGUGGUGGCUCUGAGCCUGGAGGUCCUGUUCAUGCUGGUAGCAGGUUGCCCACAAGCCGCGGAGGAGUUUGUGGGGCAGAACGGCACAGCGCUGCUCGAAGCUGUCCAGUAUAACGGCGACGGAGAGAUCCGGCAGAGAGCGGCGCACCUCCUGGAGCACCACCUACCAGCACACCUCCUGUAGCACCACCUACCCCCGCAGCACACCUCCUGGAGCACCACCUACCCCCGCAGCACACCUCCUGGAGCAACACCUCCCAGCACACCUCCUGGAGCACCACCUCCCAGCACACCUCCUGGAGCACCACCUCCCAGCACACCUCCUGGAGCACCACCUCCCAGCACACCUGCUGUAGCACCACCUACCCCCCCAGCACACCUCCUGGAGCAGCACCCACCCUCCCAGGGCACCUCCUGUAGCACCACCCACCCCUCGCUGGUGGGCGGGGGCCCCACGCUGGCCGGCGGGGCCCCUCGCUGGCGGGCAAGUUUACCUGAUUGUAAAGCUGAUCCAGUUCACAGUGUAUAUUUUGUAUAGGUUUUUAUAUUUAAUACGCAGAUUUAAAACUAGUACUUCUUGAAAUUGACUGUUUUUUGUCCUAUGUUAAUGAGAAUAAUUUAACUAUCGCGGUAUAAGAUCAGUUGGCAAUGAGAAACAGCUUUGUUUCACAUCUGACUUGAGAGACAGUGACAGUUUGCCUUCUAUAAUAACGGGCGUAGAAAUGGAAAGAAACUUGUGUGAGCGCCGCCAAGGUGUUCUCCAGGGCAUGUACUUGUAGUCCUUUUGUAUGUAGAUGUAUACAAUCUGGGUUUCUCCGUCUACAUAAGGGGUAUCACUGUCGUUUUUAUCAAAUGAAACGUAAAGGGUAACACUGUCGUUUUUUAUCUGUCGUCAUGAAAAACCCAUAAGGGGUAACACUGUCGAAAUGUAUCGAAUAAAACA